GGUUGAUAUCCCUGAAGGGGCGUGUCUGCGACCAACAUCCAUCAUUGGAAUCGGCUCCAAUGACGCCAGUCUGGAAACUGUUGCUGUUGACGCGCAGCGGUGCGUUUCUCGGGCGCGUUUGGGGAUGUGAGGGAUUGACGCGCGUCCAGAUCGGCGGAACGCGUGAGUACACGGCUCGGUGCAGGUGCAGGUGUGUGUGUGUGAUGGUCAUCAUCAAGCUCAAAGGCGCUCAGUGNUGAUGCACAGGUUUGAGGUUCUUGGGAUUGUGGGGGAAGGUGAGUACCGGCAGACAAUACCAGACUGAAAAAAUCAGGUGAAACUGAGAAAUGAUGCGGAAAAUACAGGAUAAAGGAACAAUUCAUACACUAAAUCCUUUUCUCCUCCUGUAUUCUUCCAUCAUUUGUCACAAAUGCUUUUUAUGACCUUGUUUCUUAAAGCACUUAAUGGGGUCACAUCAUGAAAAUUCGAAUUUUCCUUGAUCUUUUGAAAUAAGAGUUUGAUGUAGCAUGAGAACUUGCCUAACUCAGGUCAAGAAGAGCUUUUAUUGAGACUAAGCUGCAAAAACGAUUCAUUUUGUGUCUUGUUUUUUAUGUCAGACAUUGCAAAUGCAUUAACACAUGACUGUUUUGUUUUUAUGCAGUCUUUGUGGGCACUUUAUCUGAAACAGAGCAGUGAAAAUUGAAUUGAAUUCACACUUAUUUUCUCUGAAUCUGAGUGUAGUUGAGUCAAAGUUGUCCGAUCACAGUCUGAGGAACCUGAUGGUCGUUGGUCGUAAUUUCACUCUGGCAAAGUGUGCAGUGACUGCGUUUUGCUUUUGGCAGAAUAAUAUCCUGGCAUGGAAGAAAACUCUAAAUUGCACAGCGGUGUCAGUAUGCUUUUAAGUGGAAAUUUGUGUACAAAGAAGAAUAUACAGUUCUGCUUGUUGAUAUUUAUUUUACAUUACAAGUAGUUCUGACUGAAAAGCAGUUGAAUGACCUCUUUAAUACAUUUAAUAUGGCAUUUUAUUUUAUUGUACUCAUAUACUGUACUUAUCAAAAGUUUGGGGUCAGUAUAUCUUUUUCAGCAAGUGUAGAUUAAAUUGAUCCAAAAAGUGACGUUUCUAAUGUUACAAUUUUCUGUGAAUCCUGAAAAAUUUAAAUGUAUCACGGUUUCCACAAAAAUAUUGUGCAGCACAACUGUUUUCAACAUUGAUAAUAAUCAGAAAUGUUUCUUGAGCAGCAAAUCAGCAUAUUAGAAUGAUUUCUGAAGAUCAUGUGACACUGAAGACUGGAGUAAUGAUGCUGAAAAUACAGCUGCGCAUCACAGAAAUAAAUUACAUUGUAACAUGUAUUCA
ensembl:lncRNA